rnacentral:tRNA from 1 species
GGGAGCGUGGCGCAGCUGGCUAGCGCGCUGGGUUGUGGUCCCAGAGGUCGCGGGUUCGAGCCCCGCCGCUCCUCCCA